CACACCUAGCAGGGCGCUUUUCUCUUCCUCGACGCGGACACGACGGACAACGUCUCGGACCUGUCCCUCGGCCAGUUGGCCUCCGCCUCCACAUCUCCGUUGGCGCCUCCUGCUUCCCCUACAGGCAUCUGCGCCUUGCUCUCCUCGGCCCUCCAUGUACCGUGCAUCGCUAAGGAGCUCCCAUCCCUACCGCCGCCGGUGCGAGUGCCGCCAGCGCAGACCACGCUGGGUCAUUCCCAGGCCAUCACCAAAGAUGAAAGACCUCGCGUCCUCUCCUACCCACCAGGCCACCAGUGCCAUCAGGCUUCAAAUUUUACAACAGCACCAAGCUGAUGGAGAAUGACAAUGCAAAGCUACUGAUCCGCUCAAUUGGAGUUCCUCAACAAGGAAGGAAAGCAACUUGAGCUAUCAGCAUUGUCAAAGAUUUUCCUCUGUACGCUUGUGCAACUGAAAAGGUCAAAUAGCUUGACAAACAAGAGGUAAUAUAACUCCUUUGGUUCCUUCUGAAGACUUUAUAGGGCAACAAGGAACUUAGAAUGAAGUCGCUUCCAUGUUAAGAAACAGAUAGAUCUGCUGACCAAUUAUCGACCACCAGGGAUAUUCUCAUUUAAGUUUUGCAGUCUCUCCGUUUGGACUCUACCACUGAAAAUAAAAAGGUUGCCAGGUGUUAAUUUCACAGUUACAUGUUCUUCUAAAACCUGUGUCCAGGUAUUUGAAUUCAGAGUUUUAAGAAAGAGCAGAUUGCAAUGAACAUUUUAGCUCCUUAUUAAAUGGCAAACUGAGGCCACCCCAUGUUGCUAUCCCAUUUGAGGAAGUUAGUAGCAAUCCAACAAUUUCUGGAAGCAGCGACUGCGAUGCUCACUUUCUUUUACCAUUCAUAUAGAUUAAUCAAUUAAUGCUAAACAUAGAUAUACAUCACAUUUACCCAUAACUGCAUAUUUUUCUGUUAAUGUUUCUUCAUUAUGCAAACAAUACACACCAUGCUAAAGUAUUUCUGGCAGUGUACCCAAUAGGUUUCACUGCUAAAGUUAUUACAUAUUAACUGACAAAUGUACUAAUGAAUCUGUUAAGUAGUGCUUCCCCUCCCUGCCAUCCUUUUGUUUCAAGUAUCUGGCAGGGAGGGGAAGCACUACUUAACAGUCAAGAGAUGGCAGGGAGGAGAAGCACUACUUAACAGAAGGUGAGCAGCCGAGAGAUAGUGGACGGUUGGCAUGUUUGAUCGUUUCCUCUGCAGCAGAGUGGUCGACACUCAAGCAGUCCAAGGAAGUGGAUGUUCAGUCGAAAC